rnacentral:rRNA from 1 species
AGUGAACGCUGGCGGUAGGCCUAACACAUGCAAGUCGAACGGCAGCACAGUAAGAGCUUGCUCUUACGGGUGGCGAGUGGCGGACGGGUGAGGAAUACAUCGGAAUCUACUUUUUCGUGGGGAUAACGUAGGGAAACUUACGCUAAUACCGCAUACGACCUACGGGUGAAAGCAGGGGAUCUUCGGACCUUACGCGAUUGAAUGAGCCGAUGUCGGAUUAGCUAGUUGGCGGGGUAAAGGCCCACCAAGGCGACGAUCCGUAGCUGGUCUGAGAGGAUGAUCAGCCACACUGGAACUGAGACACGGUCCAGACUCCUACGGGAGGCAGCAGUGGGGAAUAUUGGACAAUGGGCGCAAGCCUGAUCCAGCCAUACCGCGUGGGUGAAGAAGGCCUUCGGGUUGUAAAGCCCUUUUGUUGGGAAAGAAAAGCAGCAGGUUAAUACCCCGCUGUUCUGACGGUACCCAAAGAAUAAGCACCGGCUAACUUCGUG